rnacentral:rRNA from 1 species
UACGUAGGGGGCAAGCGUUAUCCGGAUUCAUUGGGCGUAAAGCGCUCGUAGGCGGUCUGUUAGGUCGGGAGUUAAAUCCGGAGGCUCAACCUCCGCCCGCUCCCGAUACCGGCAGACUUGAGUUUGGUAGGGGAAGGUGGAAUUCCUAGUGUAGCGGUGGAAUGCGCAGAUAUUAGGAAGAACACCAGUGGCGAAGGCGGCCUUCUGGGCCACAACUGACGCUGAGGAGCGAAAGCUAGGGGAGCAAACAGG